UAUAGUUACAAAAAAAAUAUUUAUUUAUUGAAAUACAUUAGUGAUUGGCUGAUUGUCUUAAUAUAAUAUUAUUGAGAAAUAAAAUAAAAUAAAAUAAUUUAGAAAUAAAAUUUAUAAUUCACAUUCAAUAGUGGAAAUACGUGUGUUACGACAACAUAUUUUUUUUAAAUUUCUAAUAUAAAUGAUCGGCGAUUGGAUCGUAGUAUUGAUUUAUAUUGACUGAAGCUCCAUUCAACGUCAGAUGAUGUAGUUAGCGCAUAUUUAAAUAAAGAAAUUUGUCCUGGUGUUAAAUUACAACUGAAAUUGUUCUCGUCCGAUUCGCCAUUUAAUAUUUUAUUUGUUGAUUGUAGAGUUUUAAAUCCUUUAUUUUUUUGUAAAACCAAAGAUAUUUUGUUUUUAACUUUAUCUGUGACUCUUCCGUUGCACUUAAAAAAUCCUAGCAUUUUUUAUAGUCUAUAGACUUUCAUGAAGUCUUUCUCUGUCUAACUAUUCAAUCUUUUAUCGCAUACCUAUUGUACCAUAGAAUAGUAUUUAUAAAAAUAAAAUUUAUGUUUGACAAAAAAUCAAGUUUUAUACUUUAAUCAGCAGGUCUAGAAUUAAAUUAUAAACAUUAAUUACGAAAUAUACUGUGAAACAUGCAUUUUUCGCAUUAUUAUAAUCGAAAUAUGCAAUAAUAUUCAUUUUAUUCAAUAUAUGCAAAAUAAAAACACACUUAUCUCAUCAUGAGGUGUUUCGUGGAAAUUACUGAAAAAAUCAAUAAUCAGAUGUCGCAAAAAAAACAUGCUGUUGCAUAUAAAUAAUAGCCCUGAUGAUUACAACCAUGUGGUAUUAUAGCAUCAGUUUGUGUAGGCUUCCUUUAAAUACUAAAAUCAAAUUUAUUGUUCAUUAUGGAAACUGUAAGAUCUAAGACGUUUAAUUUAUUUGUUUUUCGAGUGUAAAUUGAAUGUUUUUAUUUAUUUUAUUUAUGUAGUUAACUAAAUUUUCUGCUUGUCUAUUUAAACUCCAAAUAAAAUGAAUGUGUCAUCAAUAUAUCUAAAAUAUGCUUUGACACAUGCUGUAUAUUUUAUUGUUAAUAAUAUUUAUUUCAUAAUUUUACAUGUAAAUUGCAGAUAAAAAAGCACUUAAAGGACCACCUAUAACUAACC